ACGGAGGGUGCAAGCGUUGUUCGGAAUUACUGGGCGUAAAGGGCGUGUAGGCGGCUGAUUAAGUCAGAUGUGAAAGCCCUGGGCUCAACCCAGGAAGUGCAUUUGAAACUGGUCAGCUAGAGUACGGGAGAGGAAGGUGGAAUUCCUGGUGUAGAGGUGAAAUUCAUAGAUAUCGGGAAGAACACCGGUGGCGAAGGCGGCCUUCUGGCCCGAUACUGACGCUGAGACGCGAAAGCGUGGGGAGCAAACAG
rnacentral:rRNA from 1 species